rnacentral:rRNA from 1 species
AUUAUAGUAUUCUAUUGCCAGCGCUUAAUUGCGCGGCGAUAAACCUUACACACAUUGUCUAGUUUUUUUGAACUUUGCUUUGGGUAGGCUUUUAUGGCUUGCCCAGAGGACAACUAAACACAUUUUUUACAAAUGUUUUAAACCUUUAACCAAUAGUCAUGAAAAUUUUUAACAAAAUUAAAAUCUUCAAAACUUUCAACAACGGAUCUCUUGGUUCUCGCAACGAUGAAGAACGCAGCGAAAUGCGAUACGUAUUGUGAAUUGCAGAUUUUCGUGAAUCAUCGAAUCUUUGAACGCACAUUGCACCCUCUGGUAUUCCAGAGGGUAUGCCUGUUUGAGCGUCAUUUCUCUCUCAAACCUUUGGGUUUGGUAUUGAGUGAUACUCUGUUAAAUAGGGUUAACUUGAAAUAAUGUCUUAGCAAGAGUGUACUAAUUUAUACGUCUUUCUGAAAUAAUGUAUUAGGUUCUUCCAACUCGUUAUAUCAGCUAGGCAGAUGAAUAGUAUUUUAGGCUCGGCUUAACAAUUAAACUAAAAGUUUGACCUCAAAUCAGGUAGGACUACCC